CUUCAUCUGCACGACUGGCGAUAGAAACCGGCAACACCCGCGGUUUCGAGGUGGGACGAACCACCGGGGAGUGCUGGACUUUAAGCCGUUCGCCUGGGCCAGCGCC
rfam:Thiomonas intermedia K12, complete genome.